CCUGGAGGUUUUUCGCCUUCCCUUGCAGCGUGGGGCAUGGGUCACUUGCUGGUGGAUUCUCUGCAGCUUGAGGUCUUCAAACCACAAUUUGAAGACUUCAAUAACUCAGGCAUAGGUUAGGGGUUUGUUAUAGAACUGGAUGGGUAGGGUUCUGUGGCCUGCUUUGUGCAGGGGGUCGGACUAGAUGAUCACGUUGGUCCCUUCUGACCCUAGAAUCUAUGAAUCACUUCGUCUAUGACUCACUCUCCGUCACCUCCGUCUCCUGGAUUGACAUCAAGCCCUGACGACCCCCUGCAAUUACCCCCAUAAUUAAAAAUACAGGACUGUAAAAUUAUAUUUUGCAUAUGUACUCUUUAUUAUAUACUGUACAUUACUGUAUCCAAUAUACAUUUAUACAUAUUACUGUACAGAGUUGUAUACUAUACACAAAAUCAUAUACAACAUACUGUAUUUUAUGGGCGAUUUAAGGGAUUUUCAAGGGUAAUUUUGACUAGACGCGAUUUUGGCCUUACACACUGAUUUUAGAACCUAACACCCACAUAAGAUGUGACUCCACUGUAGUAAAAUUAAAUUUGUCAGUAGACAAAGCAAAUGUUACCUGGAACAUUUAAGCCCUGAUUCAGCAAAGUACUUCUGUUCUCCAUGGCCCCAAUUCAGCGAAGCAUUUAAGCACAUGCUUAACCUUUAGCACAUUAGUAGUCCCACUGAAGUCAAUUAAAGGACAUGUGCUUGAUGUUAAGCAUGUGCUUAAGUGUUUAGCUGAAUUGGGGACAAAGAGAGCAGCUCUGUUGAGUAAGAAGGUGCCAUUUUUACAUAGUCACUUUGCUGACCAGAUCCACACUUUCAUAGUACAGGCUAUUACAGUUGUUAAGUUGAAACGCCAAACAUGAGCACAAAUAUGAGGCCUAGUCUUAUGACCUCUUCCUAUGUGAAUAGUUUCACUAAAGUCAGUAGAACUAUUAAUGGAAAUAACAGCUGCAAAAGCAAGUUCUUAGAAUCUUGCAGAGACUGAUUCUCUUCUCAUACUAGUUUGCUGGUGUAACUCCACUGACUUCGGUGAAAUCACUCCUUUUUUUUACACUGGAAUGAGAUGAUAAUCAGGCAGUGAGGAGUGUGUGGAGAAAACUGGAUCUGAUGUCUAGAAAAUUGGACUCCAGAUAUGUUGGGACUUGACAGAGGAUAGCUGUGUCAGGGUAGAAUGUGUUUUGUAGUUCCCAAGGAAAAAUGUGGGACAACAAGAUAACUGAACUAUGGUUAUCUUUAAAAUGUUGGAUUUGUGUAAUGAGGAACAGAUCUUGACAAUAGCAAGGCAAAAAAAGACAACUAAAAGAGAAAAAAUGUGACUCUUGUCAACUUGAGACCUGCUGUGGAGGGUAAAGAUAAAGCUAGUUCGCUCAGUGAGGAAACAGAAGAUGCCAGUUCGUGCCCUGCAAAGCUCAAGGUAAAAUUUAACUCUAAGUAUUUUUUGGCAAGUGUUUCAUGGGAAAAUUUCUCCAGAAAUGUGGACAAGGAUUCUAAUGGAAGAAAGAGAAGUCUUUUCUUUAGUUAGUCUGUUCUUUAAAAUCAUAUUGUUUGUUUGGAUUACCUUAAUCUUGAUUUCUGAAAAUAGUGAAAAGAUACAAUUGUCAGCUUGACUUAAAAUAUGCGGUCACCAACUAAAUGCUGAACUGGGUGCAAACUGUGAUCUAUUACAAAUAUGGGACUAACACUAAUGGUACCUCAACUUCUUACGUUCCCGUAUGUACAUGUUUCAGCAGUUCUACAUGCCUAGAAAGCCGGGGGGACACAGAGGACAUUAGAAAAUGCUGCUGAUGUUAUUGUGAGUUUGACUUUUACUUGUCUCAUCCAAUCAUAUGCCACAUUUCUGCACAUUCUUUUUUCUAAUAGACAUGAUAAAAAAUAUUUUUCUUACCCCCAUCCUCAGAAGAGUGGACAACCAGAAGUUUGAAAUAAUAACCCAAUAGAAUUAAUGACUAUGCCUGGUAUAUUAUAGUAAUGGAUUGUCAAUACUUUUAGUUUCGAUAUCCCAAAUUAAUUAAUAUAUUUGUACAAUAUACUUUUUUCCUUAAUUUGUUAUAAAAAGGGUAGAAAAGUACUUUGUGUGACUUUGUAAUGCUGUCUGAAUUCCUGAAAAAACAGUAAAUACAAUUAACUGUAUAGUUUCUCAUAUCUAGUGUGUCUAAUAGGACACUUAAAAGUGUGAUGUGUAAAUUAAUACAACUGGACAGCAGCUUAGUUGGAGAAAGAUUGUCUAUCUACUUGUCUGGGAAUUGAUUCAGCAUCUCUUUUCCUGGGUCAUGGGUGGAUUAAGUCAAUCCAAGAUGGAAUGACACUAACAGGUUAAAUUCUUAUGCUAAAAUUAUAGAGUUACAUUCUUUUUUUUCUCUCUCUCAAAAUAGAACCCCACACUAAAUUCAUUUCUGUAACUUACUGUACAUCCAAGAUUUCUGUUCUCCUUUCCAGAGCACUUUAAAAGAGUUCAAACAUUAUUAUGAUUUGCUUAUAGUAGAGGAAAUAUUUGUAACAGAUAUGCAGAAGUAAUUACAAAAAACCUGAAAGAUGUUUGUCUGAAGUAAACUGAUCUUCUUAUCAACAUAAUGCUAAUUUAGACCAUCUGUGAAGGUUAGAUUUUUCAGUCAUCAGACUGAAACCAUAUAGAUAGUAGAGCUGGUCAGAACAUUGUCAAAAUAGUAUUUUGUUGGAAAGUGCUGUUUUGACAAAACCAAAACUUUUCACAAAAUUACAUCAAUUUUGAUGCAAUUUUAAUGUCCAAUCCCAUUUGACAUCUUUGGAAAACACGUUUUGAUUUUUCUAUCCAUAACAACUUUUUAUUUAAAAAUUUACUUCUGUCCCACAAAAAAUUUCAAGAUUUUACAAACAAAUCCCAAAUCAGGUUGAAAAGCCAAAAGUUCAAAAUAUUUCACAAAACAAAAUUCUGAAACAAAUUUUGUUUUGAGUCGAUUGAAAUGUGUGCUUUGGUUUCACUUUUUUUCUGUUAAAAAUAUGGAUAUGAUUUUUCAAAAAUGGUUGCACCACAGAUAUUUCUGUAUGUGAUAAUUUUAAAGAGCUUUUUCACAUGAUAUGAGGGAUGUUGUCUUAAUCAUCUUUGUGGUAAAAACUAGCUCUCCAGGAAACUUGCCAGGCAUUCUUCUAGAAUAAAAAAGCUAGCACUGUGUGUAUUUUUUUAAACAAAAUUCAUAUAGUGUACCACAUCACAGGUACAAAAGGGCAGCAAUUGUUCAAGCUCCCCUAUAACCCACACUGUUUCAAAAAUGAAUCUCCAACAGGAGUUUGGAUCUAUUUCUUUGAAAUGGUUGAAAAGAGGAGUGUUAUGUGGCACUCGCAAAUUAUGUGCUGGGUAUCUCAUUUAUGUAAUUUUAUAAGUGCAGGAAUAGAAUUGCAAUGUUAUUUAGGGUGCAGCAUUAUCUGUUGUUGUUACAUAGAAAAAGUCUUUUAAACAUUAUCUUUUUAGGCUCAUGCCUAAUUUAGUGAUCUAAUGACAUCUUUUCAUGAAAAUACCCUAGAAUUGUAUUACUGUUCUUAAAAACUCCUACAUAAACUUUGUGUUUCCUGUUUUUUGAUAACUAUCUUCAAAGGCAUCUCAAAACUACAGAAUCUUCACUUUAAAAGUUGAUCUGGUUGAAGGGGCUAACAAUUCAAAUUCUAGAAUGGAAUAGCUAGAUCUUUCUUUCCUUUUAAAUCUGUAAGUGAUACAGUAUUGAGUAUGUUUUUAUCAUGUGCAGAAGUAGGCAUAUAUAAUCCUUCUAAAGGUUUUUAUGUUGCAUAAUACAAAGGCAGUCCUACGUUGCUUGUAUGGAUUUUUUUGACAAAGAGGUUGAGUCUUCUCCAUUCAGGUCUCAAUACAGUUCAAGAUUCCCUUACAGCAAUCAAUAAGAUUGAGGGUAUUUCAAAUCGAAUAAAACAUGAUACUUAGAAUAUAUACUUAGAUUAGGAGAUUAUUGCUGCAGGGAAUGUAGCUUUUCUCUUUGCUGUAAUUAAAAGUAGUUACAAUGUCUCAUAUUUUAGCAUCCUUCAUUUCACAAAUUUUCAGAUCAGGGUGCCAUCCCAUCAGUUAUGAAGUGUGAGUCAAAAUGAAUAAGGAUGGGGUCAUGCCAAAAUGUGUGAGUUUGUUCAUUGUAUGCGGAUGUCUGAAAGAUGAAAAGAUUAAUUAAGAAAUGACAUAAAUCCUGUAAAAAGACUGAACCAGCAUCUGGUUAUUUCCUUCAUAAAAUUGCUACUAUAGAAGAUGGAUUCUACUAUGGAACUCAACUGGCUGUACUCCACUGCCUCUCUAUUGACAUUAAUGAGAGCUGGAUCAGCUGCCCUUAAUGGAACUGAAAAUAUGCAAUGGAGAUAUUUACUAGGAGAAAUCUUUUGUCAACUAAUUCCUGGGCUUGACAGGGAUGAUGCAAUCAAACUCGUUCUUUUCUCCAUUUUAAUGUGUAUGAAAUAAACAAUUUUUUUUCUCUCCUA